GACGAACGCUGGCGGCGUGCUUAACACAUACAAGUCGAGCGGUAAGGCCCUUUCGGGGGUACACGAGCGGCGAACGGGUGAGUAACACGUGGGUGACCUGCCUUUAGCUCUGGGAUAAGCCUGGGAAACUGGGUCUAAUACCGGAUACGACUCCGCGGUGCAUGCUGUGGGGUGGAAAGCCUUGUGCGGCUGGAGAUGGGCCCGCGGCCUAUCAGCUUGUUGGUGGGGUGAUGGCCUACCAAGGCGACGACGGGUAGCCGGCCUGAGAGGGCGACCGGCCACACUGGGACUGAGACACGGCCCAGACUCCUACGGGAGGCAGCAGUGGGGAAUCUUGCGCAAUGGGCGAAAGCCUGACGCAGCGACGCCGCGUGAGGGAUGACGGCCUGGUGUAAC
rnacentral:rRNA from 1 species